GAUGAACGCUAGCGGCAGGCUUAAUACAUGCAAGUCGAGGGACAGCACAGGUAGCAAUACUGGGUGGUAACCGGCAAACGGGUGCGGAACACGUACACAACCUUCCUUUAAGUGGGGGAUAGCCCAGAGAAAUUUGGAUUAAUACCCCGUAAUAUAGUUGAAUGGCAUCAUUUGAUUAUUAUAGCUACGGCGCUUAAUGAUGGGUGUGCGGCUGAUUAGAUAGUUGGCGGGGUAACGGCCCACCAAGUCUACGAUCAGUAGCUGAUGUGAGAGCAUGAUCAGCCACACGGGCACUGAGACACGGGCCCGACUCCUACGGGAGGCAGCAGUAAGGAAUAUUGGUAAAUGGACGCAAGUCUGAACCAGCCAUGCCACGUGAAGGAUUAAGGUCCUCUGGAUUGUAAACUUCUUUUAUUUGGGACGAAAAAGGGCCUUUCUAGGUCAACUGACGGUACCAGAUGAAUAAGCACCGGCUAACUCCGUGCCAGCCGCCGCCGUAAUAC
rnacentral:rRNA from 1 species